CAGCCGCGGCCGCAGUGGAGGCUAGAGCCGGAGCGGCGGCGGCGGCGGCACCCCGGGGAGUUUAAGAUGGCGGCGGGGGGGACAGGGGGCCUGCGGGAGGAGCAGCGCUAUGGGCUGUCGUGCGGACGGCUGGGGCAGGACAACAUCACCGUACUGCAUGUGAAGCUCACCGAGACGGCGAUCCGGGCGCUCGAGACUUACCAGAGCCACAAGAAUUUAAUUCCUUUUCGACCUUCAAUCCAGUUCCAAGGACUCCACGGGGGAAAAGAGUGCAAAUUCGGAAAGCACCUCAAGCUGUUUCAGAUACAGUUCCUGAGAGGAAAAGGUCAACCCCCAUGAACCCUGCAAAUACAAUUCGAAAGACACAUAGCAGCAGCACCAUCUCUCAGAGGCCAUACAGGGACAGGGUGAUUCACUUACUGGCCCUGAAGGCCUACAAGAAACCGGAGCUACUUGCUAGACUCCAGAAAGAUGGUGUCAAUCAAAAAGACAAGAACUCCCUGGGAGCAAUUCUGCAACA
rnacentral:lncRNA from 1 species